rnacentral:lncRNA from 1 species
ACAAAGUUUCGGUCAUGAACAGUAAGAAAUAUGAAUAGCAACAACAACACUUGAGAAUAUAUAUAUAUAUAUAUAUAUAUAUAUAAAUGGUGAAAUUCCACCAAAAUAGGGAGCAAAAAUUUAUUUUAUUUUAUGUGUAUAUGUGUGUUUUUUGUGUGUUUGAGAUAGAGAAAAGGAGAAAAAAUUUGUGUGUAUUUGUUUAUUCUUGAGAGAGGGGAGAAAGAAGAAUAUAAUGUGUGUGUGAUUAAAAAAUGUGCAUAUGCAUUAGUGUAUUUUUGAGAGAGAAAAUGAAAAAUAAGGAAAGAUUUUAUCUUGUGUUUUUUUUUGUGUAUGUAUUUGAGAGAGAGAAAAGAUAUGUGUGGGUGUAUGAAAAUGUGUGUGUAG